AGGUGAGGGACCGAAGCCGCAGGGGCCAGAAAUGCAUUAACAGUGCCUGCUGGUUGCCAAUCAAUUGUGGAGUGAAGAGGAAGGAGCAUUUAUAGGUCACAGGCCGGCCUAGGCAGCCCUCAGCUCUGCAGGGCC